AGCGAAUAAGAGCUUACGAAGGAUACCUUGGUGUUCAGAAGCGAUGAAGGGCGCGGCUACCGGCGAAAUGUUUCGGGGAACUGGAAGCAAGUUUUGAUCCGAAAAUACCCGAAUAAGGAAACUUCUUGAACUACUUCUUGAAUUCAUAAAGAAGAAAGAGCAAACCUAGUGAAUUGAAACAUCUUAGUAACUAGAGGAAAAGAAAGCAAAAGCGAUUCUCUGAGUAGCGGCGAGCGAAACGGGAUCAGUCUAAACUCUAACUAAUAUUAGAGGGUUGUGGGGCAACAAAAAAAAAGAAGUGUUUUGUAUUAGACGAAGCGAGUGGAAUAUCGCACCAGAGAGGGUGAAAGUCCUGUAAUCAAAAAUAUAGACGUUUUUAAGUUUCACCCCAAGUAGGAAGGGACACGUGGAACCCCUUUUGAAUUUGCGAGGACCACCUCGUAAGACUAAAUAUUCCUGGACAACCGAUAGUGAAAUAGUACCGUGAGGGAAAGGUGAAAAGAACCCCGGGAGGGGAGUGAAAGAGAACAUGAAAUCGUAAGUUUACAAGCAGUAGAAGAGCGACUUAACGCUCGACUUCGUGCCUGUUGAAGAAUGAGCUGGCGACUUGUAGGUUAUGGCAAGGUUAAGAUAAGAGAAUAUCGGAGCCAUAGUGAAAGCGAGCUUGAUAAGAGCUUUGAGUCAUGAUUUACAGACCCGAACCCGGAUGAUCUAACCAUGGCCAGUGUGAAGCUUAGGUAACACUAAGUGGAGGUACGAACCGACUGUUGUUGAAAAAACAGCGGAUGAGUUGUGGUUAGGGGUGAAAUUCCAAUCGAAUCCGGAGCUAGCUGGAUCUCCCCGAAAUGCGUUGAGGCGCAGCGGUUAAUGUUUCUUCUUAGGGGUAAAGCUACUGUUUUGAUGCGGGCUACGAAAGUGGUACCAAUUCAAGGCAAACUCUGAAUACUAAGACGUUUAAUUAGCCAGUGAGACAUUGGGGGAUAAGCUUCAAUGUCAAAAGGGAAACAGCCCAGAUUACCAGCUAAGGCCCCUAAAUAAUUACUAAGUGGCAAAGGAGGUGGGAUUGCAUAGACAAUCAGGAGGUUUGCCCAGAAGCAGCAAUCCUUUAAAGAGUGCGUAAUAGCUCACUAGUCGAGGAAUCUGGCGCCGAUAAUGAUCGGGAAUAAGUCUUGUACCGAAGCUGCGGACUUCGUAAGAAGUGGUAGGAGAGCGUUCCAUGCAGCGUUGAAGGCAUUCCGGAAGGGGUGCUGGAGCGUAUGGAAGUGAAUAUGCGGGCUUGAGUAACGAUAAUGAGGGUGAGAAUCCCUCACGCCGUAAGUCUAAGGUUUCCUGGGGAAGGUAAAUCCGCCCAGGGUUAGCCGGGUCCUAAGGCGAGGCCGAAAGGCGUAGUCGAUGGAUAGCAGGUUAAUAUUCCUGCGCACCUGUUGAGAUCAAAGCACAGUGCGGAUCGCCAAGCUUACCAGGGCUGUUAGAUGCCCAGGCCUUCGGGCCGUUGGUAGGGGAGGAGGUUCCUAGAAAAGCUGUGUGGGCAAUACAGGUCCCGUACUAAAACUGACACAGGUAGACGAGGCGAAUAGCCUCAGGCGCUCGAGAGAAUGGUCGUGAAGGAAUUAGGCAAAUUAACUCCGUAAGUUCGCGAUAAGGAGGCCCUUCGGGGCGCAGAGAAAAGGCCCUGGCAACUGUUUAUCAAAAACACAGCACUGUGCUAACUCGCAAGAGGAUGUAUACAGUGUGACGCUUGCCCAAUGCCCGAAUGUCACGGAAGUGGGUUAUCUUCGGAGAAGCUCACGACUUAAGCACGGGUCAAUGGCGGCCGUAACUAUGACGGUCCUAAGGUAGCGAAGUUCCUUGUCGGGUAAGUUCCGACGCGCAUGAAUAGCGUAAUGACUGGGGCACUGUCUCCACGACCAACUCGGUGAAAUAGUAGUGGCGGUGAAGAUGCCGCCUACCCGCAGCAAGACGGAAAGACCCCGUGAACCUU
rnacentral:tRNA from 14 species